GGCUGCAACUCGCCUACAUGAAGUCGGAAUUGCUAGUAAUCGCGGAUCAGCAUGCCGCGGUGAAUACGUUCCCGGGCCUUGUACACACCGCCCGUCACACCAUGAGAGCCGGUAACACCCGAAGUCAGUAGCCUAACCGCAAGGGGGGCGCUGCCGAAGGUGGGAUUGGUAAUUGGGGUGAAGUCGUAACAAGGUACC
rnacentral:rRNA from 1 species